rnacentral:rRNA from 1 species
CUCGGCCUACGGGGGGCAGCAGUGAGGAAUAUUGGUCAAUGGGCGCGAGCCUGAACCAGCCAAGUCGCGUGAGGGAAGACGGUCCUAUGGAUUGUAAACCUCUUUUGUCGGGGAGCAAAAGACGCCACGUGUGGCGUUCCGAGAGUACCCGAAGAAAAAGCAUCGGCUAACUCCGUGCCAGCAGCCGCGGUAAUACGGAGGAUGCGAGCGUUAUCCGGAUUUAUUGGGUUUAAAGGGUGCGUAGGCGGGCUGUUAAGUCAGCGGUCAAAUGUCGGGGCUCAACCCCGGCCUGCCGUUGAAACUGG